GACCCAGCUAGGUGGAAGAGCUCACUGUUUUCCAGGCCUGGGCAGAGGCAGGGCCCCCCUGCCCCAUCUCUCCACCGUCCUAGGGGUGCCAAGAGUCAAUUGCCUCAUUGCUGACCCUGUCCAGCUGGCCAUGGCCCUCAACCCCCAAGGCCCUUCCACCCACAGACCAUCUCGCUGCUGAGAGAUCCAGGACCUGCUCCCACCUGGCCACCCUCCCCCUCCCCCCACAUCCAGGCCCCAGGGCUGGUGUGUGGCACCCCUGAGACCACAUUGACCUCCAUACUGUCUACUACCCAUAAGGACUCCAAGACGCCCAGGCCAGCUGUCUGGGCAGGACUGAUGCCUGAUCACCCACUAAUACCAAGUACUCAUCCCCAAGAUUGUUAAACAAGGCCAGACACUCCUGGCCUCAAGAGGAUGGGACUGAAAAACAAAAAGAACACUGAAGACCCAGAGGAGCCCCUGAUCGCCUCCCAGAGCACGGAACCUGAGAUCGGUCACCUGUCUCCCUCUAAGAAGGAGACCAUCAUGGUCACCCUCCAUGGGGCUACCAACCUGCCUGCCUGCAAGGAUGGCUCCGAGCCGUGGCCCUAUGUGGUGGUGAAAAGCACAUCUGAGGAAAAGAACAAUCAGAGCUCCAAGGCAGUCACAUCUGUGACCUCAGAGCCCACCAGAGCCCCUAUCUGGGGGGACACGGUGAAUGUGGAGAUCCAAGCUGAGGAUGCAGGGCAAGAAGAUGUGAUCCUCAAGGUGGUGGACAACAGAAAGAAACAGGAGUUGUUGUCCUACAAAAUCCCCAUCAAGUACCUGCGUGUCUUCCACCCCUACCACUUUGAGCUGGUGAAGCCCACUGAGUCUGGGAAAGCCAAUGAAGCCACUGCCAAGACCCAGUUGUACGCAACAGUCGUUCGGAAGAGCAGCUUCAUCCCCCGCUACAUGGGCUGCAACCACAUGGCUCUGGAGAUCUUUCUCCGGGGAGUCAACGAGCCCCUGGCCAACAACCCCAACCCCAUAGUGGUGAUUGCCCGGGUCGUUCCCAACUACAAGGAAUUUAAGGUCAGCCAGGCUAACAGGGACCUGGCCUCUGUGGGGCUGCCCAUCACCCCACUGUCCUUCCCUAUCCCGUCUGUGAUGAACUUUGACGUGCCUCGCGUCAGCCAGAACGGAUUCCCUCAGCUGUCCAAGCCUGGGGGACCCCCAGAGCAGCCCCUGUGGAAUCAGUCCUUCCUCUUCCAAGGCCGAGAUGGAGCUACCAACUUCUCAGAAGACACAGCCCUGGUGCUGGAGUACUACUCCUCAACUUCAAUGAAAGGCAGCCAGCCGUGGACCCUCAACCAGCCCCUGGGCAUCUCUGUGUUGCCGCUAAAGAGCUGUUUGUACCAGAAGAUGCUGACAGGGAAAGGCUUGGACGGGCUUCACGUGGAGCGGCUCCCCAUCAUGGACACCAGCCUGAAAACUAUCAAUGAUGAGGCCCCCACAGUGGAUCUCUCCUUCCAGCUGCUUUCCUCUGAGAGACCAGAAAACUUCUUGACACCAAACAACAGCAAGGCUCUUCCUACCUUGGACCCCAAGAUCCUGGAUGAGAAGCUGAGAACCAUCCAAGAGUCCUGGUCCAAGGACACAGUGAGCUCCACAAUGGACUUGAGCACAUCCACUCCACAAGAAGCAGAGGAGGAACCUCUGGUGCCUGAGAUGUCCUGUGACACAGAGAUGAACAACUACUGGCAGGCCAUGCAGAAGAUGGCAGAGGACAUCCUGUCUCUGCGGAGACAGGCCAGCAUCCUGGAAGGAGAGAACCGCAUACUGAGGAGCCGCCUGGCCCAGCAGGAGGAGGAAGAGGGGCAGGGCAAAGCCAGUGAGGCCCAGAACGCGGUGUCCAUGAAGCAGAAACUGCUGCUGAGUGAGCUGGAUAUGAAGAAACUGAGGGACAGGGUGCAGCACUUGCAGAAUGAGCUGAUUCGAAAGAAUGAUCGAGAGAAGGAGCUGCUCCUUCUGUAUCAGGCCCAGCAGCCACAGGCCGCUCUGCUGAAGCAGUACCAGGGCAAGCUGCAGAAGAUGAAGGCGCUGGAGGAGACUGUGCAGCACCAAGAGAAGGCAGGUGAUCAAGAAGAUGGAGCGGGUGCUGGAGGACAGGCUGCAGGACAGGAGCAAGCCCCCUCCUCUGAACAGGCAGCAGGGAAAGCCCUACACGGGCUUCCCUGUGCUCUCAGCCUCUGGCCUUCCCUUGGGUUCUAUGGGAGAGAACCUGCCGGUUGAAGUUUACUCAGUGCUGCUGGCAGAAAACGCGAAGCUGCGGACGGAGCUGGAUAAGAACCGCCACCAGCAGGCCCCCAUCAUUCUGCAGCAACAGGCCCUGCCGGUGGACCCCGGGGAGUUGGGAGCAGGAGGAGACUUGACAGAGAGGCUGCGAGAGACGCAUGGCCCAGGCCACUCAGAGUGCACAGAGACCCUGCCUGCACAGGAUCUCCUCUCUGGUACUUCAGACAAGUUCAACCUCCUGGCCAAGCUGGAACAUGCUCAGAGCCGGAUCCUGUCCCUGGAAAGCCAGUUAGAGGACUCAGCUCGACGCUGGGGACGAGAGAAGCAGGAUCUGGCCACACGGCUGCAGGAGCAAGAAAAAGGUUUCAGGCACCCCUCGAACUCCAUCAUCAUAGAACAGCCUCCUUACAGCCUCCUGCCUGCCCCGGGAGCCAGCAUCUUUGGAAAGCCAAGGGCCACAGUGGACCCAGGAGGGUGGAGAGAAGAGGCCUUCCAAAGCAGGGGCCAGGGAGACGGGCCCCUUCCAGACCCGGAGAAGAAGCAAGGCCACCAGAGACCAGCUCUGUUGGGAAAUACGAGGGAGGCUUGUCCUUUUCAUCUGCCCCAAAACAUCUAUCAUGUCUGAUGUUCCCUCUUU